CCUACGGGGGGCUGCAGUGGGGAAUAUUGGACAAUGGGCGAAAGCCUGAUCCAGCCAUGCCGCGUGUGUGAAGAAGGCCUUCGGGUUGUAAAGCACUUUCAGUGGGGAAGAAAGCCUUGGGGCUAAUACCCUCGAGGAAGGACAUCACCCACAGAAGAAGCACCGGCUAACUCCGUGCCAGCAGCCGCGGUAAUACGGAGGGUGCGAGCGUUAAUCGGAAUUACUGGGCGUAAAGCGCGCGUAGGCGGUCUGAUAAGCCGGUUGUGAAAGCCCCGGGCUCAACCUGGGAACGGCAUCCGGAACUGUCAGGCUAGAGUGCAGGAGAGGAGGGUAGAAUUCCCGGUGUAGCGGUGAAAUGCGUAGAGAUCGGGAGGAAUACCAGUGGCGAAGGCGGCCUUCUGGACUGACACUGACGCUGAGGUGCGAAAGCGUGGGUAGCAAACAGGAUUAGAUACCCGAGUAGUC
rnacentral:rRNA from 1 species